rnacentral:rRNA from 1 species
AACGCGAAGAACCUUACCCAGACUUGACAUGCAGAAGACAGCAGUAGAGAUACUGCCUCCCUUCGGGGCUUCUGCACAGGUGCUGCAUGGCUGUCGUCAGCUCGUGCCGUGAGGUGUUGGGUUAAGUCCCGCAACGAGCGCAACCCUUAUCAUUAGUUGCCAACACGUAAAGGUGGGAACUCUAGUGAGACUGCCUGGGUUAACCAGGAGGAAGGUGAGGAUGACGUCAAGUCCGCAUGGCCCUUAUGUCUGGGGCUACACACGUGCUACAAUGGACGGUACAAAAGGUAGCGAAGCCGCGAGGUGGAGCAAAUCCCUAAAACCGUUCUCAGUUCAGAUUGUAGUCUGCAACUCGGCUACAUGAAGUUGGAAUUGCUAGUAAUGGCGGGUCAGCAACACCGCCGUGAAUACGUUCCCGGGCCUUGUACACACCGGAGUA